AAGCUAAACACAAUGCAGCAAACCCAAUACUGUAUCAAUAAAAGCAAACAUACCUACAUCUCUGAGGAAGCUGGAAAGAAAACAGAUCAGAAGGCUGGGGUUAGCCAUGCACACACUCAGUCCAGCCAAGCACAUCUCCCCCUACAGCGCAGAGAAAUGGGAUACUCCAUGGAUGUAAAUAUCAUCAUCAACCCAAGAGGAAGGAACAGAUGAUGAAGAACUGGACCAACAACAGCCUGUUAUGAGAAGAGCAAGUGUCAGUCAAGCAAAUGAAAAAGAGCUAUC